UGCGGCGGACGGGUGAGUAACACGUGAGUAACCUGCCUGUAAGACUGGGAUAACUCCGGGAAACCGGGGCUAAUACCGGAUGCUUGAUUGAACCGCAUGGUUCAAUUAUAAAAUGUGGCUUUUAGCUACCACUUACUGAUGGACCCGCGGCGCAUUAGCUAGGUGGUGAGGUAACGGCUCCCCAAGGCUACGAUGCGUAGCCGACCUGAGAGGGUGAUCGGCCACACUGGGACUGAGACACGGCCCAGACUCCUACGGGAGGCAGCAGAAGGGAAUCUUCCGCAAUGGACGAAAGUCUGACGGAGCAACGCCGCGUGAGUGAUGAAGGUUUUCGGAUCGUAAAACUCUGUUGUUAGGGAAGAACAAGUACCGUUCGAAUAGGGCGGUACCUUGACGGUACCUAACCAAAAAGCCACGGCUAACUACGUGCCAGCAGCCGCGGUAAUACGUAGGUGGAAAGCGUUGUCCGGAAUUAUUGGGCGUAAAGCGCGCGCAAGCGGUUUCUUAAUUC
rnacentral:rRNA from 1 species